CGUCCUCAAACAGCUGGAGCUGUCUGAUGUUGGCUGGUGUUACAGCAAUCUACAUGAAGAAAACGACAACAGUUUAAAAACAAUGUUUUGGAUUCCUUGAGGCAUGGAUCCAGCAUUCCUGCGCAGCAGCUGACAGAUCAGCUUUGCAGGACGGAGCUCGGUCAUGCAACGUUUGAAACUUCCCCUUGAUUUGAGAUCCAGACUGUUUUCAAGUUAUUUCAUGGAACUGGUUUGGCUUUACUGCAGAGAAGUUGGAAGGCUUUGUGCAUGGUGGACAGAAUAUUUUUUUCUCCCCAAAAAUGACUUCAUUAUAAACAAUCCCUUUUUGUACUGUUGGAAACGAGAUCCACCUGUGCAUUAGGGAUAAAGGCUUCCAUCUGGAGCUCCUCUAGUUUCUGUUACUUUGGUUUUUCAACGUGUUAAAUCCCAUUUCCUUCAGCUGGAAUUGUAGAGUUCACAAUAGUAGUUUACUCUAACUUUCUAGCUGGUCCAGGGUUUUACCAUGUUUCACUUUUAUAAUCCUGGACAUUUUGUUUGUCCUUCAUAUACAUUUUAGACCUUUUAACCUUUUGUCACAGUCUGAGCGAACUUCUCGAAGGGGUUUUUGUAACAGUUUCAAUUGUUUCAACCGACUGUUUUCUUGUUGCUGUCAUGAUUUCUGUCAAUCAGUCAGAUGUAGAAGUCUACAAGUAUUUCAGUCUAACAAUGAUUUAAAAAAAAAAUUAGUUUAACAUCAUUAAUAAUAACAUUACUGUUAUGCUGUGGUUUGAAAAGGGAAAAAAAUCAUUGUCAGUCUUGUUGCUUUUAGAUUUAAAACCAUUUGAAUGUAAAAAUUAAUAAUAAUUAUUCAAAAUGUCA